ACGGGUGCGUAACGCGUAUACAAUCUGCCUUUCACAUAGGGAUAGCCCGAAGAAAUUUGGAUUAAUACCUAAUGGUAUAUAAGAGCGGCAUCGUUUUUAUAUUAAAGCUACGGUGGUGAAAGAUGAGUGUGCGUUCUAUUAGCUAGUUGGAGAGGUAACGGCUCCCCAAGGCGACGAUAGAUAGGGGUUCUGAGAGGGAUGUCCCCCACACUGGUACUGAGAUACGGACCAGACUCCUACGGGAGGCAGCAGUGAGGAAUAUUGGACAAUGGUCGGAAGACUGAUCCAGCCAUGCCGCGUGCAGGAUGAAGGUCCUAUGGAUUGUAAACUGCUUUUGUAAGGGAAGAAUAAGGAGUACGAGUACUUUGAUGACGGUACCUUACGAAUAAGCAUCGGCUAACUCCGUGCCAGCAGCCGCGGUAAUACGGAGGAUGCGAGCGUUAUCCGGAAUCAUUGGGUUUAAAGGGUCCGUAGGCGGGCUGAUAAGUCAGAGGUGAAAGCGCUUAGCUCAACUAAGCAACUGCCUUUGAAACUGUCAGUCUUGAAUGAUUGUGAAGUAGUUGGAAUGUGUAGUGUAGCGGUGAAAUGCUUAGAUAUUACACAGAACACCGAUAGCGAAGGCAUAUUACUAACAAUUUAUUGACGCUGAUGGACGAAAGCGUGGGGAGCGAACAGGAUUAGAUACCCUGGUAGUCCACGCUGUAAACG
rnacentral:rRNA from 1 species